rnacentral:tRNA from 1 species
AAGAGAGUUGUAGGGUGGCCUACGGUUGGUUUGAAGUCAAUGAAUGUGGGUUCGAUUCCCGCCUCUCUUG